GAGGGAACUUCCAUGUGUCUGGGCUGGGAAACUGGAGUUCUCCACUGGGAGACAUUGAGUGUAUCCUUCU
ensembl:miRNA